CCUGGUUGAUCCUGCCAGUAGUCAUAUGCUUGUCUCAAAGAUUAAGCCAUGCAUGUCUAAGUAUAAACAACUUUAUACUGUGAAACUGCGAAUGGCUCAUUAAAUCAGUUAUAGUUUAUUUGAUAGUACCUUACUACUUGGAUAACCGUAGUAAUUCUAGAGCUAAUACAUGCGAAAAGACCCGACUUUUUGGAAGGGUUGCAUUUAUUAGAUACAAAACCAAUGGCCAGCAAUGGUCACACUUGGUGAUUCAUAAUAACUUUUGCGGAUCGCAUAGCUUUACGCUGGCGACGAAUCAUUCAAAUUUCUGCCCUAUCAACUUUCGAUGGUACGGUAUUGGCCUACCAUGGAUACAACGGGUAACGGGGAAUUAGGGUUCGGUUCCGGAGAGGGGGCCGGAGAAAUGGCCACCACAUCCAAGGAAGGCAGCAGGCGCGCAAAUUACCCAAUCCUGAUACAGGGAGGUAGUGACAAUAAAUAACAAUGCAGGACCUUUACGGGUUUUGUAAUUGGAAUGAGUACAAUUUAAAUCUCUUAACGAGUACCAAUUGGAGGGCAAGUCUGGUGCCAGCAGCCGCGGUAAUUCCAGCUCCAAUAGCGUAUAUUAAAGUUGUUGCAGUUAAAAAGCUCGUAGUUGAAUCUCGGAGUCCUUUUUUCUUCGGAAACGCCGAUGGUCGGAAACCCAGAGCCUCGAAAGGGGUGGAUGGGGCUGUUUACUUGAGGCAGGGCUCACAUCUGAGUUUCUCGAAGGUGGCCUCUGCUCUUCACUGGGUUGGGGGACUUUUUCACAUUCGAGACAUUUACUUUGAAAAAAUUAGAGUGUUCAAAGCAGGCAGUUUCGCUUGAAUACAUUAGCAUGGAAUAAUGGAAUAGGACUUUGGUCUUAUUUUGUUGGUUUCUAGGACUGAAGUAAUGAUUAAUAGGGACAGUUGGGGGCAUUAGUAUUUAAUUGUCAGAGGUGAAAUUCUUGGAUUUAUGAAAGACUAACUUCUGCGAAAGCAUUUGCCAAGGAUGUUUUCAUUAAUCAAGAACGAAAGUUAGGGGAUCGAAGACGAUUAGAUACCGUCGUAGUCCUAACCAUAAACUAUGCCGACUCGGGAUCGGUGAGCGUGUUUUUUUACUACCUCAUCAGCACCGUAGGAGAAAUCAAAGUUUUUGGGUUCUGGGGGGUGUAUGGUCGCAAGGCUGAAACUUAAAGGAAUUGACGGAAGGGCACACCAGGUUUGGAGCCUGCGGCUUAAUUUGACCCAACACGGGGAAACUCACCAGGUCCAGACUUCGUAAGGAUUGACAGAUUGAGAGCUCUUUCUUGAUUCGAUGGAAAGUGGUGCAUGGCCGUUCUUAGUUGGUGGAUUGCUCUGUCUGGUUUAUUCCGUUAACGAACGAGACCUUAACCUGCUAAAUAGUUACC
rnacentral:rRNA from 1 species